rnacentral:rRNA from 1 species
AUUGAACGCUGGCGGCAGGCUUAACACAUGCAAGUCGAGCGGGGUGAUGGUGCUUGCACUAUCACUUAGCGGCGGACGGGUGAGUAAUGCCUAGGAAUCUGCCUAUUAGUGGGGGACAACAUCUCGAAAGGGAUGCUAAUACCGCAUACGUCCUACGGGAGAAAGCAGGGGAUCACUUGUGACCUUGCGCUAAUAGAUGAGCCUAAGUCGGAUUAGCUAGUUGGUGGGGUAAAGGCCUACCAAGGCGACGAUCUGUAGCGGGUCUGAGAGGGUGAUCCGCCACACUGGGACUGAGACACGGCCCAGACUCCUACGGGAGGCAGCAGUGGGGAAUAUUGGACAAUGGGGGGAACCCUGAUCCAGCCAUGCCGCGUGUGUGAAGAAGGCCUUAUGGUUGUAAAGCACUUUAAGCGAGGAGGAGGCUACUUUAGUUAAUACCUAGAGAUAGUGGACGUUACUCGCAGAAUAAGCACCGGCUAACUCUGUGCCAGCCGCCGCCGUAA